rnacentral:rRNA from 1 species
CGGGAUGCUUACACAUGCAGUCGAACGAUGAACUGGGUGCUUGCACCUGGGGAUUAGUGGCGAACGGGUGAGUAACACGUGAGCAACCUGCCCCUGACUCUGGGAUAAGCGCUGGAAACGGCGUCUAAUACUGGAUAUGUGAUGUGACCGCAUGGUCUGCGUCUGGAAAGAUUUUUCGGUUGGGGAUGGGCUCGCGGCCUAUCAGCUUGUUGGUGAGGUAAUGGCUCACCAAGGCGUCGACGGGUAGCCGGCCUGAGAGGGUGACCGGCCACACUGGGACUGAGACACGGCCCAGACUCCUACGGGAGGCAGCAGUGGGGAAUAUUGCACAAUGGGCGAAAGCCUGAUGCAGCAACGCCGCGUGAGGGAUGACGGCCUUCGGGUUGUAAACCUCUUUUAGCAGGGAAGAAGCGAGAGUGACGGUACCUGCAGAAAAAGCACCGGCUAACUACGUGCCAGCAGCCGCGGUAAUACGUAGGGUGCAAGCGUUAUCCGGAAUUAUUGGGCGUAAAGAGCUCGUAGGCGGUCUGUCGCGUCUGCUGUGAAAUCCCGAGGCUCAACCUCGGGCUUGCAGUGGGUACGGGCAGACUAGAGUGCGGUAGGGGAGAUUGGAAUUCCUGGUGUAGCGGUGGAAUGCGCAGAUAUCAGGAGGAACACCGAUGGCGAAGGCAGAUCUCUGGGCCGUAACUGACGCUGAGGAGCGAAAGGGUGGGGAGCAAACAGGCUUAGAUACCCUGGUAGUCCACCCCGUAAACGUUGGGAACUAGUUGUGGGGUCCUUUCCACGGAUUCCGUGACGCAGCUAACGCAUUAAGUUCCCCGCCUGGGGAGUACGGCCGCAAGGCUAAAACUCAAAGGAAUUGACGGGGACCCGCACAAGCGGCGGAGCAUGCGGAUUAAUUCGAUGCAACGCGAAGAACCUUACCAAGGCUUGACAUACACGAGAACGGGCCAGAAAUGGUCAACUCUUUGGACACUCGUGAACAGGUGGUGCAUGGUUGUCGUCAGCUCGUGUCGUGAGAUGUUGGGUUAAGUCCCGCAACGAGCGCAACCCUCGUUCUAUGUUGCCAGCACGUAAUGGUGGGAACUCAUGGGAUACUGCCGGGGUCAACUCGGAGGAAGGUGGGGAUGACGUCAAAUCAUCAUGCCCCUUAUGUCUUGGGCUUCACGCAUGCUACAAUGGCCGGUACAAUGGGCUGCGAUACCGUAAGGUGGAGCGAAUCCCAAAAAGCCGGUCCCAGUUCGGAUUGAGGUCUGCAACUCGACCUCAUGAAGUCGGAGUCGCUAGUAAUCGCAGAUCAGCAACGCUGCGUAAUUUGCCCC